rnacentral:rRNA from 1 species
UAGGGAAUCUUCGGCAAUGGGGGGAACCCUGACCGAGCAACGCCGCGUGAGUGAAGAAGGUUUUCGGAUCGUAAAGCUCUGUUGUUAAGGAAGAACGAGUGUGAGAAUGGAAAGUUCAUGCUGUGACGGUACUUAACCAGAAAGGGACGGCUAACUACGUGCCAGCAGCCGCGGUAAUACGUAGGUCCCGAGCGUUGUCCGGAUUUAUUGGGCGUAAAGCGAGCGCAGGCGGUCAAUUAAGUCUGAUGUGAAAGCCCCCGGCUCAACCGGGGAGGGUCAUUGGAAACUGGGUGACUUGAGUGCAGAAGAGGAGAGUGGAAUUCCAUGUGUAGCGGUGAAAUGCGUAGAUAUAUGGAGGAACACCAGUGGCGAAAGCGGCUCUCUGGUCUGUAACUGACGCUGAGGCUCGAAAGCGUGGGGAGCGAACAGG